rnacentral:rRNA from 1 species
GACGAACGCUGGCGGCGUGCCUAACACAUGCAAGUCGAGCGGAGUUGACAAGAGGAAGUUUUCGGAUGGAAUCUUGCCAGCUUAGCGGCGGACGGGUGAGUAACGCGUGAGCGACCAACCUUGCACAGGGGGAUAACGGACCGAAAGGUUCACUAAUACCGCAUGAGACCACGGUGUUGCAUGACACAGAGGUCAAAGGAGCAAUCCGGUGCAAGACGGGCUCGCGUCCGAUUAGGUAGUUGGUGGGGUAAUGGCCCACCAAGCCUAUGAUCGGUAGCCGACCUGAGAGGGUGAUGGGCCACAUUGGAACUGAGAUACGGUCCAAACUCCUACGGGAGGCAGCAGUGGGGAAUAUUGGGCAAUGGGGGAAACCCUGACCCAGCAACGCCGCGUGAAGGAAGAAGGUUUUCGGAUUGUAAACUUCUGUCCUUGGUGAAGAGAAGAAGACGGUAGCCAAGGAGGAAGCCCCGGCUAACUACGUGCCAGCCGCCGCCGUAAAAC